rnacentral:rRNA from 1 species
AACGAACGCUGGCGGCAUGCCUAACACAUGCAAGUCGAACGAGACCUUCGGGUCUAGUGGCGCACGGGUGCGUAACGCGUGGGAACCUGCCCUUAGAUUCGGAAUAACUCCCCGAAUGGGGUGCUAAUACCGGAUAAUGUCUUCGGACCAAAGAUUUAUCGCCUUUGGAUGGGCCUGCGUUGGAUUAGCUAGUUGGUAGGGUAAAAGCCUACCAAGGCGACGAUCCAUAGCUGGUCUGAGAGGAUGAUCAGCCACACUGGGACUGAGACACGGCCCAGACUCCUACGGGAGGCAGCAGUGGGGAAUAUUGGACAAUGGGCGAAAGCCUGAUCCAGCAAUGCCGCGUGAGUGAUGAAGGCCUUAGGGUUGUAAAGCUCUUUUACCCGGGAUGAUAAUGACAGUACCGGGAGAAUAAGCUCCGGCUAACUCCGUG